rnacentral:rRNA from 1 species
AUUGAACGCUGGCGGCAGGCCUAACACAUGCAAGUCGAGCGGUGACACAGAGAGCUUGCUCUCGGAUGACGAGCGGCGGACGGGUGAGUAAUGUCUGGGAAACUGCCUGAUGGGAGGGGGAUAACUACUGGAAACGGUAGCUAAUACCGCAUAAUGUCGCAAGACCAAAGAGGGGGACCUUAGGGCCUCUUGCCAUCGGAUGUGCCCAGAUGGGAUUAG